GUCUAAGUGCACACGGCCGGUACAGUGAAACUGCGAAUGGCUCAUUAAAUCAGUUAUGGUUCCUUUGAUCGCUCCAUCCGUUACUUGGAUAACUGUGGCAAUUCCAGAGCUAAUACAUGCCAACGAGCGCCGACCCAGUCCCAUGUUGUUAGUAUACAACAUGCUAGUCAUGUUAACAUGCUAAAAUAAUAGUCACAAUAACACUCUAACAACAAGCUUAAGUCAUGUUAACAUGUUAAAGUCAUGCUAACAACAUGCUAAAGUCACGCUAACAACAUGUUAAAG
rfam:Danio rerio chromosome 5, GRCz11 reference primary assembly.